AAAACUUUAAAGCUAUGCCAAGUUCCACUCAGGUAAGUUCUCUGCUUGACCUUCCUGCUUCAUAAUUAUUGUUUAGCAACCGACGAGUCACCCAAAUCUUAAAAAUCCACCACCAGCCUCCAUCCAUUAUGCCGACCGUCCUCGAUUGAGAGUGCCCAGGUGAACGCAGCGAUGCUGCCAUGCGAGAUUACUGAGCCACCCCCGGCGAGCGAGGCAGUAGCCCCGUCGCGGUGCUCCGCUCCCCAUCCGCUCUGACCCUGGGGAGUCGACCACACAAUCUCGGUGACGUCGCCCAGACCCCAUCGACAGUACCCCGGCCCCCGUCGACGCUGCCACAUGUGGCCUCGGCGAGCCACUCCGCGAGAAGCGCCCGGGCGACCCGGCUGUGAACUGUGCGUCCGCUCUUCCGCCGAGCUGUUCAGGUGGAUGCCUCUCCCGUGGGUGCUCUGCCCGCCGGUAGAGGUCUCUUCAGACCAAAUCUGCUGACAACGCAUUGCGUUCAGGGGUUUUAUGCGUUUCCAAUCCUUGCUAUCCAGCCUUUGUGGAGGAGUACCUAGGAAAGGAGGUGGAUCGAUUGCUGUAACUGCCCCUACGCAUCCAUCCUUUUGAGCAUGCAGAAGAUAUAGAAAGCGGUUUUCAGAUGUUGAAACAAAGUACAAGCGAAUGUAUGAGAUGACAUAAAUCAUUUUGUUGCUUUCUCGAGCAAGUUGCUGCUCAUCUCUGACUCUCUGUUCACUAAGCUUUGCUGGGUCAUUGAUCUACAUGUCCUUCUGCUCAAGUAUCUAUUUUAUGAAUCAAGACAUGAUGCUAUUUUCGGUAAAUACUUUUUCAUCACAUAUAAAUAGAUAUGGCUCCUUUGAACAUCAGUUAGUAUCAUGUUACCCUACCAUAUUGUUGGGAUAAACUUCCUUUGGUACACCAAUAAAGGAUCAUGAAGACGAUGAGCACGAUAUAUGGGAAGUUAAGCGACACAGCUCAAAUCAGCAGAAAUUGCGUAAAUUUUUUUAUACUAUCUGAUUGCCCGACUCCAUUUUAUUUGUGCCCAUUUUUCAUUAUCUGAAAUACAAAUUCAGAUAUGCCUAUUCUCCAGGUCUUAAUCUAGAGGACCAAAGAUUCAAUAUGUUAAGGACUAUGAUCACUAGAAAUUUGUUUCUAGAGGACUAAAGAAGGUUCAAUAUAAAUCAUUUACGAUGGGCUUCAUGUUUGAGAUCCUAAACCAUAUAAAUUGUCAUUAUUAUUUUCAUUUGCUUAAUGCAACUUAUAAUUUUUCAAGUUUAAUAUAUUUGUGGCAAACAACUUCCAGUUGCAACUUGAUAAUUUGUAUCUUGGUGCUUAUUUAUGUAUAAAUUCUCAUUCCCUAUUCAGCCCGGAUUUUCAAGACAAGGAAUUAGAACUUGCUUCGGGGGGAAAAGAGAAAAUGAAUUUGUACUCUUUUGCUUCGUUGGCAUGAUUUAUUUUGUACUUAUUGUUGACAUUGUAGCUCCAUCACUCACUAUGAAGCAUAGCAAGCUACUACAGUGGCCAAUAUUAGUGUUUAGUUUACAUUCUUUGCAGAUCUAAAGUACACACAGAUGAAGAUUGACUUCCUUUUGAUGUCUACAAUAACAUUCAUUCUUUGCAGAUCUGAAGUACCCAUAAUAUCUCAACAUGAAAAUUUGUACAUUUCCACUCAUAGCGUCCCCAUCCGGAAUAUCCCUGUUCUUAGUGCGCUUACAUUUACUAAUAUUUAUGUAAGUCAUAUGAGAUUACUUAUGUUAUAUUCUGAAUGCGUAAUUCACAAUUUUCAAUCUUCAUAAUUAUCCAUAGCAUUUUUUUGUCAUAAGAUCAUAUAUCUACUAUGCAAACAAAGUUAUUCGAUUUAUAUGUUAUCAUGUACUUAUGACUGAGAGAUCCCACAGGAACGCACGGGGUAUCAUCUAGUUAUUACACUAUAGGGACCCCUUCAAUCUUCUUAAAAUAAACAGUACAGUGAACUGAUUUUCUCAACAACAAAAAAACAGUAGAGUGAACUGAUACUCAUUUGAAGGAAGUAGAGGGGAAAGCAUUGAUGGUUCCAACCCAAUCAAGACUUCAAGCCAUACAUUUUUCCUGAUUUCUUGCUGAAAUCAAGAUGUCACAAAAUCCCGACUAACAUAAAACAUAGACUAUUUUAUACAAACACAAUCAGAUGCAUAUUGACAGCUAUGUAAUAACCACUGAUAAUUUUCUUGCAUUCUCCACUUUGUUGUCUUACUGUCCAUUUCAUGAUCAUCAAAUCAGCACAACUCUUGAAAUCAAUUCUGGACGUAUACACUAUGAUAUCAGUUUUCUCCAACAUCACAUUAUAUUUUGUUCCCAUCAAUCUCUUCUGAACCAAUAUUAACACAAUGAUAGCUUCCCGGUGCUGCUAACUAUGCUAAACUGGCUAAAAGAUGGAUCAUUUAUACCAAUCCAUCAACCUUUUCUCGCGGCCAAUAUAUCCGAUUCUUUCGGCUUCCCGUGUCAAUAUGCAUGAGCAACCAACAAUGUGUGUAGUCAUGCAAUGGCUAUGCAGGCAACCAAAACAGACACAACACCAUAUUCACAUGAAAUUUGCAUUGCCUUAGAAUUUCGCCGCCGAGUGAUGGUUUUCCUUUUCCGCAUAAGUAGCAUAUUGGUAGCAUCUUUUCAUAAUCACAAAGUCCUUCUCCAAUUUGAAGUGGCAUACAAAGUGACGAGUGAGUGACUUAGGUUGAGUAAAUCAGCUGAUGCCAUGUCCCACUGCUCCGUGGACCAUGGAUCAAAGUAAUUAAUGGACCAAGCAAGUUAUUGAGUUCUAUGGAUAAUUGAUUUAAUGUUAAAAGGCUGACCAUUACUAGGCACUAGAACAAGGAAUAUCGAGACAUCUAUAGCAAGUGAUGUUGUAGGGAAAUGAAAGCAAUGGUACCGGAACAACUUCCGCACGUUUGCUCAUGCAUGUAUAUCCUAUUACUUGUAAUGGUUUGCUAUUACCGCACUUAAUUUGUUACAUAAAAUCAAUGUUCAUAUGCAAUAUGACUGUCUAUCUGCCACAUCAUUCUUAGAUGCAAGCUUGCAGAUGCAGUUUGGUUUAAGAUUGGUUUACAUGAUUUAACACGCGACUCAUCUAACCUCCAUGGCUCUCUCUAAGUAUGGCAAGCUCUGGCAUAUUCGCUUUGCAGCACGUCCUGUAGCUCUUUGGACUGCCCCGCAACACUCAAGUUUUCGACAAUAUCAUAUAUGUUUUCUUAGAAAAGAAGAAAGACCCCCGGUCUCUGCAUCUGGACGAUGCAUGCAUCACUUUAUAAUUAUUCACAUAAGACCUUACAAAGUAAUAUACAACAGUAAGACUAA